rnacentral:lncRNA from 1 species
GCCCCUCAGCUACCUAAUUAUAAUCCUCCUCAGGUGUGAACACCUUGUGUUGUGACAUAGAGCCACGUGGACAUGUGGUGAUUCCGUGAUGCUCUUUAGGUGUUUGGGAAUGCUCAUAGGAUGGUCCCUUUCAGGUGGGGGAAGAGUUCAUGCUCUCCAGGUUACUGUGGUGGGUGGCAGGCUGUUGUGUUGAGCUCUCAGAGAAGGAUGAGAAGGCGUACGAGCUAACAUCUAUCGUCUCUCCGAAAUAUGCUGAUGUGACAGCUUCUUGGACUGAAAAUGCACGCUUCUGGUAGAAUUCUUCUGACAGGAAAAGCAAGCAGUUCUGUCACUUAAAACCAGCACAAAACAAAACCCCCUCUGAAUAUUGAUUUGUGAUGUUAAUUUGUUUUAUGAAGAAAGUAGGUGGGUUAUUGUGCAGAAAUGCUGAAUGGACUGUAUGCUGCUGUUUGCAACCAAGAACAAAAAAAAAAAAAACUGGCUUAGUUUAGCCUCUGAAAGCCAGAACAACCCUUAGAAAAUCCACAUUGCAAAUAUUUGCUGUUUGGAGGACUGCUGAAACAAAAUAUUCAAGAGAACUAGGAAAUUGCUAAGUACCCACUAAGAAAAAAUACUGGUGGAGCCUUAAUAAUGGAACAGCACUGUCCUAAUUUGUACCUCACAGUGGCCUUUAUCCAGGCAGUCAGGACUGUUCUAACAGGAAUUACUUAAUCCUUUUUGGUGCCUCUCUUGGCAGAACACUUCUUCAGGUAGUUCAAGCCCAGAUGCUCUCAUUCAGGCAUUGUCCAGUGAAUUGGUUUUGUGCACCCAAAUGAAAGUAACUUGCUCUUCUGGAGCUUCAGUGUGGUUCUAUGUUUUAAGUGUAUCUAUUCAUGCAGUCUCGUUGUGAUGAGUCUGUUUUCAGGAUGAUGUGCCUUAC